CUGGGAUUACAGGCAUGAGCCACCGUGCCUGGCCCCAUGUACUGGGGUUUUAAUCUGUAUUUCCUGGAUAAGCAAAUAGCACUUCUUCCCAGGAUCACUAACAAACUAGUCCCCUUGGCUCUGGCCUUGGAAUCAGAAGACCUUACCCUGCCCACUCUGAUUGGGUGAGUUAUGUGACACUGACCUGUCAGUCCUUUCCUGCCAUGACAACAAAAUACUUUAGAUUGGGUAAUUUAUAAACAACAGAAUUUUUUUGCUUGCAGUUCUGAAAGCUGGGAAGUCCAAGAUCAAGGCCCCAGCAGAUGUGGUGUCUGGUAAGGGUUUGCCUUCUGCUCCAUAGAUGGCGUCUCGUUGCUGUGUUCUUAUGUGGCAGAAGAGGCCAGGGAGCUCACUUGAGCCUCUUUUAUAAGGACAUAAUCCCAUUCAUAAGGGCAGAGCCUUCAGGACUCGAUUACUUCCAAAAGGCCCCACCUCUUAAUACUAUCACACUGGGGAUCAAGUUCUAACAUGUGAAUAUUGGAGGGACACCAGCAUUCAGACCAUAGCAUGAUCUAUCUAAGUUUUCUCAUCUGUAAGUGGGAACAAUAACCCUUGGCCUGCGUUUGCAGUAGGCGCACACUGGCGUUGGAGUUGGUGGAGCUCCAGGACUUUCUUCCGGGCUUGUCUCCCUACUUCAAGGGCACAGGUGUUUUUAGAAGACAGGGUUUGUUGCCCACAUGCCAGUCGUCUCCCCUACUUCUACCCUGGAUCUUUUUCUUCCUUUGACAGCAUCUCAGGGCUUCCUCUUCCAGAUCACCUUCAUCUUUUUUCUAUAUCACUGAGGCAGGAUCUAGGCCAGAAGGGACAAUGGAUGGACCCAGGAGGUGGCCAUUUGCAUUUGGCUUGCUCUAUUGCUGCGUGACCCGGGCUGGUUUCUAAAAGGAAAUGGGGUAUAGACAUUGCCUGCAGCAUCCCUGGGGCACUUUAGUGCUCUUGUGUGCUGUGCUGAGGAGGAGGUCAUCCAAGCAGGUUAGCAGAUGGGAAAUAGACAAACCAUCUUUGUGUACUUAGGAUGCCAGAUAGUCAUGCAAAUAGCUGCCACAUGCCUAUGUGGCAAAGAAAGUACAGCACCCCCAAAGGAACUCUCAAAUCCCUUUGGACAGCCUGUGGGAGGAGUGUGCUCCCAGCUUUCCCUCCUUCAGUGCACCUGGACUGUUCUGAGAUGGGAAUGACUUGAGUGUAGAGAAGCCCAGUCCCUUAUUCACUCCAAGAAGACGCUGAGCCGUGGUGUGGUGCAAAGCGAGAGGCAAGGCUCCGCCUGAGUGUCCUCAGGAUGGCUCGGUUGUGGACCCUGACUACAGAUGCCUAGAGCCCAUGCGGAAGCUAAGGCACAAGCAUAAACAACUGUGGACCAAGUUCUGGAGGGGCACAGAUGGUUUCUAACAUGAAGGGCUGGUGAGUAAUGUAGGUAAGAGUGAGGGAAGGUGUAGCAGGUCCAGGGACCAGCCUGUGUACAGUUGUGGAGAUGGGGACCUGGGGCAUGUUCGUGGAGUGAAUGAAUGAAGGCAGGUGGGCUAGAUCACCAAGGCUUGAAAACUUGGCUGAAAGGCUGGGAUUUUAUCCAGUGCAUAAUGACCACUGGUGUUUAUGAGAGGGGUUGGUGCAGGCGUGGUAGAAUCACAGCUGAUCACAGAUGCUCACCUUUAGAAGGUCCCCAGCUCACAGAGCCUCCCCUAUCGGCUCCCCCACCGCCUUCCACUAUUUGAACUCUCUUCCUUAUUGAACCAAAGACUUUUCCUGCUCCAAGAAAUCCUCACAAAGUGAAAACUCUGGGUGCCAGCUCCAUCCUUGAUGGGAUCAGCUGCUCAGCCCAAGACCCUUAGAGAGGUUUGUUUCCAGAGGCAGGGGCCAGGCUAGUGUUGAUGAGAGUGAACACAGGGAUAGGUGGGGAGGGAUUUUUUUUUAACAUCUGCUAAUGACAGGCAUUAUAUUAAGUAUCCGACAUUCAAUAUUUCAUUUACUGUUUGUAGCAACCCUAUUAGGAAGGCAUUCUCCCCAUUUUACAGAAGAAGAAAGGGAGGCUUGGGCAGACUAAAUUAUCCACAUAGUAAGUGAGUCUGUUUGCAGAACCUGAGCGUUUUCUGCUGCCCCAGGCACAGUGUAUGCGAAGUGUCUCCAGGAAGCUGGGUGGGAGGGGAAGGGUCGUCUGAGCCCAGUGCCCAUUUGCCCCAUGACAUGCAGCUCUGAGGCCUGGGCCUCAAAUGCCGUCGCCCACAGAGCUGCUCUGGUGAUCUCCCCGACUGGAUGUUCCUGGCUAAAGGUACAGAAUUGCAGUCUUUUCAAAGUACACCAGGAGAUGUCAACAGAAAGAGUGAAAUUGUGCUCAAAUUAGAGACAAUUUUCUGGAAUCCUCUGUUUUCCUCUCCCUGACAAGCAGAAGCACGGCAUCCAUUCAGCAGCAUUUAUGCUUUUAAAUAAAAUACUGCCAUAGAAUCCCUCGAACUGCCAUUUGUGAAGCAAUAUUCUCAUCACUAUCUCCAGGUCACAGACAGUGGAUGCCAUGUCAUGCAAAGGGUUGACUCGUUCACCAUCCAUUCAACAAGCAUUCAGUAAAUACCUGCUAUGGGACUUGCUCUGUGCUGGGCACUGGGAACACAGAUGUGGAUGAAACCCAUGUAGACCACGAGAUCCUCAGUGGCUACAAAGAAAAACAGACAUUGUAGAGGAUUAAGACCUCUGCAAUGUGAUAGAGUUGACAGAGGCUUGGGGCAACCCCUGAUGGUCUCCGCAGGGAUGGGAGUAGGCUAAGUGAUAGGGAUGCCCGUGGAUCCCCACAGGGAUUCAGACAGGCAAGUGGGCCUGGCCAGGGCCUCAAGGAGCCUAGGUCUUCUAGGACCAAGGUGAGCAUUGGUGGAGGGGAAGGGAACUCCAGGUGCCAAGACUGGCUCGAGCAGGGGUCUGGACGAGGGACUGACAUGUGCGGGACGGUGAGGCCACCAUGCUGCGGGGAGGCGAUGGGGACAGGUUAUCGGCCUAUCACAGCAGCCUCCACCCUGCUGGUCCUGCAGCAGUGCCCCUGCCUGGCACCUGGCCUUAGUCCCCUUAUUUAGUGUCGCACACCCUUAGCUCAGCUGCCCGUUGUGUCUCACACAACCAGGCUGUGUCUCACUUCUAGCCUACGCGCUUGCUGUCCCCUUUUCCCGGAAUGCCCACACCCCACUCCCCUUCUUCCCCUGGGAAGUUCUGUUUAAGUCUCAGCUUAGCCUUCCCCUCUUCGCAAAGCCUCGGGGUGGAGUUCAGUGCCCUUCUCACCACUCAGACAUCUCCCCUGGGGACUCUUGAGGGGGAUGGUCAUGUUGAGCUGGUUGGUUUGUUUGUCUUUUGGGGAGGGUCUGGGUCUUGGAGCCCCAAGUGGGACACACAUGGUGGGGUGGUACAGUGGAGGAUGUGUGACCUCAUCGCAUCCUAGAGGAGAAAAAUAUCUUUGUUUCUUUUUCAAACACAGGGUCUUGCUCUGUUGCCCAAGCUGAAGUGCAGCAACUUGAUCAUGGCUCAUUGCAGCCUUGAACUCCUGGACUCAAGAUAUCCUCCCACCUCAGUCUCCCGAGUAGCCAGGACUUACAGCAGUUUUCAGGCGAGGCAUGGUGGCUCAUGCCUGUAAUCCAAGCACUUUGGGAGGCAGCAGGUAGGAGGAUCGCUUGAGCCCAGGACUUCAAGACCAGCCUGUGCAACAUGGGGAAACCCUAUCUCUACCAAAAAUACAAAACUUAGCCAGUCUCACAGCCCAGCCUCAAAUAAAUAAAUAAAUAAAUAUUUAAAAAUAAGAUAACUUUUUUUAAAAAAAACAGCAGAUUUCAUAUCGAAAUCCAGACUUCCACCCUCUCUUGAACACUUGGAAGGCCAGUACUGCUGGGCGUUUAUCCUAAAUCAGCUUUAGCUGGCGGCUGCCUCCUUCACAAAAGACAUACACUCCCCCUUUUCCACAGUCUCCACCACUGUCUAUUGUACCCACUGGCCACUCCCCUCAUUUGUGUACCCGUCUUGCCCCUAGGGCAGGCAUUCAAGCCCAUUGUCUUUGGGUUCUCCUGAUUUAUUUCCUACUGCUUCCAUGGGGAUCUCAAACUCAACCCAACCAUGACCAAGCCACAUCCUCCUCCACUGUCCCCAAAACCUCCUCCCCUCCAAUAUUCCCCAUCUCAGGAAAUGCUUCACAAUCUGCCCAGUCACUCAAGGAAAAAACCUGGACAUUUCUAGGACUCCUUGUAUAUCCCUUGCCCCACCUACGAUUUAUCAUCAACCUGACAAUUCUGCAAAGCUGCCUGCUGCUCUGCAUCCCCACAGCACAUGCAGAGUCAAGCCACCGCCACCCCGAGCUGGGACCACAGCAGCCUCAUGACUGGUCUGCCUGCCCCGACUCGGGCCCCUCUAAGCUGCUGCGCCCUCUGUAGCCAGAGAGGCCUUUGUACAAUGCAAUGUGAUUAUGUCGCUUCCCUCUUAGACCCCUUCUAUAGCUUCCACAGCUUCCCAUUUUCCCCCAAAAUCCAAAUUCCACAAAGGUCUAGUAUCAGGGCCUGCCUCCCUCCCUAGCCUCUUCCCACACCUCAUCCUUCUCCAUGGCAUACACACUAACCUUAUUUCAGUUCAUGCUGUUCCCUUCAACACUUCACUCCACACUUCACUUUUUGAAACAGGAGGUGUAACUUUUAUAGAGUAAACCAUCCACAUCUUACAUGUACAGCUUGAAUGAUUUUUAUAUAUGCAAACAUGUGUGUAGCCACUAUCCAUUUCAGUAUCUCCGAGAUCUUCUUUAUGUGCCUUUCUGGCAGUACCCACCUAUCAUUAAAUCGACUUUGGUAUAGCUUAGUUUUGCCUGUUCUUGACCUUCAUAGAAAUGAAAUUAUAUAGUAUAUGUUCUUUUGUGCCUGGAUUAUUUUGCUUAAGAUUAUGUCUGUGAAAUUCACCCACAUUGUUGCGUGUAUUAAUAAUUAAUUCAUGCUGUCUGCUGUGGAAUCUUCCAUUGUAUAGAUACACCACUGUUUAUGCAUUCUACUGGUGAUGGGCAUUUGAGUAGUGUUGUGGACUAAAUUGUGUCCACAGAUUUUAUGGAAUAAAGUCCUAACCCCUAAUGUGUCUGUAUUUGGAGACAGGACCAUUAAGGAAGUAAUUAAACUUUGCAAUUAUGUAGACAGUAGGAAA
rnacentral:lncRNA from 1 species